UAAAGGUGUACAAUGACUUCAAUAAUGUAAAGGAAAACAAUUUUGAAAGACUUCAAAACGUAUCAGUACAGUAAUCAAAUGACUUCCAAAGACUGAGACUGAAGCAUACUUUCAACUUCUUCGUAUGGAGACCAUGGAUCAGAGGUGCAGAAUGAGACAUUUAGAAACACAAUGAACUGAGUUGGGUUUUUUAAAACCAUAUUUCUUGGUUAUGAGGAUUAUUGGAAAGAUCAAAUAGAUGAUAUCGAUGGCACAGUCUGGCACAAAGCACUAUUCUGAGCACUGAGAAUAUAAAUGAAGACAAAAGAUCCCACUGCUCUCAAGAAACUCAUAGUCUGAUGGGGAAGACAGCAUGCAAAAACUAUGUAUAAAAAAGGUAUGAAAUAAUAAACUAGGAGUCAUCUCAGAAAGAAGGCACCAAGAUUAAAGAUUGGAAAUCAAAGGUAGGGGUAGGGAGCAAGGCAAAGAUGGCACAAUAGAUAGAGUCGGGAAUCAGGAAGACUCAUCUUCCUGAGUUCAAAUCUGAUCUCAGACAAAUACUAGCUGUGUGUCACGGACAAAUCACUUCCCUCAGUUUCCUCAUCUGUAAAAUGAGCUGAAGAAGGAAAUGACAAACUGCUCCUGUAUCUCUGCCAACAUAAUUCCAAAAUAGAAUCAUGGAUAAUUGGAUAUGACAGAAAAUGACUGAACAACAGCAAAGGUAUAAGAAGCCUGAAAUGAGCAUGAUAAAUGUAGAAAUAUGUUUAGAAGAAUGGGUACAUAUUUAACCUACAGUGGAUUACUUGUUGUCUAGGAGAGGGAGGAAGGAGAGAGAAAAAUUGGGACAUACAGUUUUGCAAGAAUGACUGUUGAAAACUAUGUUUGCAUGUUUUUUUUCCCCUGAGGCAAUUUGGGCUAAGUGACUUGCCCAUGGUCACACAGCUAGGAAGUAUUAAGUGAGUGAGAUCAAAUUUGAACUCCGGUCCUCCUGACUUCAGGGCUGCUGCUGUAUCCACUGCGCCACCUAGCUGCCCUCUUUGCAUGUAUUUUGAAAAAUUAAAAAGCUAUUAUCAUUUGAAGAAGAAG